UUUUACAAUGGAGAGUUUGAUCCUGGCUCAGGAUGAACGCUAGCGGCAGGCCUAAUACAUGCAAGUCGAACGGUUGGUAGCAAU
rnacentral:rRNA from 1 species